rnacentral:rRNA from 1 species
AUUGAACGCUGGCGGCAUGCCUUACACAUGCAAGUCGAACGGCAGCACGGGUGCUUGCACCUGGUGGCGAGUGGCGAACGGGUGAGUAAUACAUCGGAACAUGUCCUGUAGUGGGGGAUAGCCCGUCGAAAGCCGGAUUAAUACCGCAUACGAUCUACGGAUGAAAGCGGGGGACCUUCGGGCCUCGCGCUUUAGGGUUGGCCGAUGGCUGAUUAGCUAGUUGGUGGGGUAAAGGCCUACCAAGGCGACGAUCAGUAGCUGGUCUGAGAGGACGACCAGCCACACUGGAACUGAGACACGGCCCAGACUCCUACGGGAGGCAGCAGUGGGGAAUUUUGGACAAUGGGCGAAAGCCUGAUCCAGCAAUGCCGCGUGUGUGAAGAAGGCCUUCGGGUUGUAAAGCACUUUUGUCAGGAAAGAAAACCUUGGCCCUAAUACGGUCGGGGGAUGACGGUACCGGAAGAAUAAGCACCGGCUAACUACGUG